GUUGUGUGUGUGUUGCAUCCUCAUGCUGACAUAUUAGUGAGAGGACAAUCUGUAGCCCCCUAGUAAGAGUGGCGGUCAAAGGGAAGGGCUCAU
rnacentral:pre_miRNA from 12 species